rnacentral:misc_RNA from 1 species
GGAGGGAUCAUCAUUGAAAACACAUUUGACAAGAGGUUUUUGUUUUGGGACGAGGGAGGGGGCUGUGGAAACUCUGCAACUCCUCUGAUCUGACUGGGACGGGGCCUCUUGACAAACAACCAAUCUUCAUGACUAUGAAACAUUGACACAGUGAUUUUAGGGAUUGUCUGACAAGUAGCUUGCUGAUUUGGAGCACAACAACUGAUACAACUUUCAACAACGGAUCUCUUGGCUCUCACAUCGAUGAAGAACAUAGCAAAGUGUGAAAAUUAGUGUGAAUUGCAGAAUUCAGUGAAUCAUCGAGUUUUUGAACGCAUCUUGCACUUCUUGGUAUUCCAAGGAGUAUGUCUGGUUGAGUAAUGUGAAUAUCUAAUCAAGCACAGUUGUGUUUGGAGCUGAGUGGCUUGCCUCUGUCUUGUCUCCCCGCACAGGGAAACAGAGAGGCUCACUUGAAAUACAAGGGGACAAGGAUUUGUGUGAUUGCGCCCCAUCUACCAAUGACUUGAUGAGAUUAUCAUAAAGCCUUGGUAGAUGGGACCGGGUCUCACUCCCUACAAUCUCUUGUCUGUCAACUAGGGAACAGAGGGGGGAAACCUCCUCUCAUUUUCAUUCUCAACUCAGAUAGGACUACCCGCUGAAUUUAAGCAUAUAAAUAAGCGGAGGAAAAGAAACUAACAAGGAUUCCCCUAGUAACGGCGAGUGAAGCGGGAAAAGCUCAAAUUUGAAAUCUGCCAAGAGUAACAUUCUUGGCCGAAUUGUAGUUUCAAGAAAGGGAGGCUGAGAGGAGCCGGAUAGAUGCAAGUUCUUUGGAACAAGACAUCACAGAGGGUGACAAUCCCGUCCACCGUCUAGCCGUUGCUCCUCACCAAAGGCCCUCUUUUCAAAGAGUCGAGUUGUUUGGGAUUGCAGCUCAAAAUGGGUGGUAAAUUUCAUCUAAAGCUAAAUAUGGGUGAGAGACCGAUAGCGAACAAGUACCGUGAGGGAAAGAUGAAAAGCACUCUGAAGAGAGAGUGAAAAGUACGUGAAAUUGUUGAAAGGGAAACGCUUGAAGCCAGUCAAGGUUUUCUUGAGAUCAGGAGACUAGACUUGUCAGGUCGGGCAUUGGGAUUGGCCUUUUGAGCCGACUCUGUGUUUGAUUUUGGCAGGGCUGGUUUCUGUAUGUCUCUGGUUAACAAGUCAACAUCAGUUUGGCUGUUUGGGAAAAAGAUAACAGGAUUUGGUUGGGCUCUAGCAGGUCUCGGCCUGUUGGGGCUUAAAGCCUGCUUAUCAUUAUACCAAAUGCUAGACUGAGGACAGCAGUACAGAUCAUCGUCCAGGACUAGGCAGUCUUGUGGCAGCCAGGGGAUUAAACAGCCUAGCUGAUUCUUUUCCUGUCUGUCCAAGUCCUGACCCAUCUUGGCAGGUUCUGACUUUGGAUGUUGACGAAAUGGCUUUAAACGACCCGUCUUGAAACACGGACCAAGGAGUCUAACAUGGAUGCAAGUAUUUGGGUGGUAAAACCCAUGUGCGCAAUGAAAGUGAUAUUUCCCAAGGGUAGGACGUUGGGGGGCCUCGCGGCUCCUUGACAGCACUAUCAACCAAUCUUGUCUAGCUCCGGCUUGAUAGAUUUGAGUAAGAGCAUGUAUGUUGGGACCCGAAAGAUGGUGAACUAUGCCUGAAUAGGGUGAAGUCAGACGAAAGUCUGAUGGAAGCUCGUAGCGAUUCUGACGUGCAAAUCGAUCGUCAAAUUUGGGUAUAGGGGCGAAAGACUAAUCGAACCAUCUAGUAGCUGGUUCCUGC